AGACGUCUACAUUAGAUACCCGUGUAGUCCCAGCCCUAAACGAUGCGCGUUAGGUGUAUCGGUGACCACGAGUCACCGAGGUGCCGAAGGGAAACCGUGAAACGUGCCGCCUGGGAAGUACGGUCGCAAGGCUGAAACUUAAAGGAAUUGGCGGGGGAGCACAACAACGGGUGGAGCUUGCGGUUUAAUUGGAUUCAACGCCGGAAAUCUUACCGGGACCGACAGCAACAUGAAGGCCAAGCCGAAGACUUUGCCGGAUUAGCUG
rnacentral:rRNA from 1 species